GUGAAUCAUCGAAUUUUUGAACGCAAAUUGCGCUCUCUGGUAUUCCGGGGAGUAUGCCUGUUUGAGGGUCAGUUUAAAUAAAAAUCGGAGUUGUUGGUGCCUUUCUUUGUUACGCAGCGGAUGUGGAUCGUCAUGCCUUCGGUUAAGGGACCUAAAAUUUUGCAUGAUUUCGUUCUAAUGUAUGUAAAUGAUUUUACGUACGAUUGCG
rnacentral:misc_RNA from 1 species